rnacentral:rRNA from 1 species
GACGUAGGUGGCGAACGUUAUCCGGAAUUAUUGGGCGUAAAGGGUGCGUAGACGGCAUGAUAAGUUAUUGGCGGGAAAUCGAGGCUCAACCUCGUGGAAACUGAUAAUACUGUUUUGCUUGAGUACAGGAGGGGUUAACGGAACUCCAUGUGGAGCGGUAAAAUGUGUAGAUAUAUGGAAGAACAUCAAUAACGGCGAAGGCAGUUAACUAUUCUGUUACUGACGUUGAGGCACGAAAGCGUGGGGAGCAAAACGG